UCCCUGAUGGUCUAGUGGUUAGGAUUCGGCACUUUCACUGCAGAGGCCCAGGUUCAAUCCCUGGUCAGGGAA